rnacentral:tRNA from 1 species
AAUGGGGGGGUGUUUGGCAUACGUGAUUGUCGUUCACGAGGUUUAAGUCAUUAUUA